UGAAUCUUUCAAAUUGUUGAGAACUCAAACUUUGAUUUGAGUGCAAUGAAUAUUUUCAUUGAAUAGGAAGAUCUGAUGC